rnacentral:rRNA from 1 species
AUUGAACGCUGGCGGCAUGCCUUACACAUGCAAGUCGAACGGCAGCACGGGAGCAAUCCUGGUGGCGAGUGGCGAACGGGUGAGUAAUGCAUCGGAACGUGCCCAAUCGUGGGGGGAUAACGUAGCGAAAGUUACGCUAAUACCGCAUAAGCCCUGAGGGGGAAAGUGGGGGACCGCAAGGCCUCACGCGAAUGGAGCGGCCGAUGUCAGAUUAGCUAGUUGGUGGGUAAAGGCCACCAAGGCGACGAUCUGUAGCGGGUCUGAGAGGAUGAUCCGCCACACUGGGACUGAGACACGGCCCAGACUCCUACGGGAGGCAGCAGUGGGGAAUUUUGGACAAUGGGCGCAAGCCUGAUCCAGCCAUGCCGCGUGCGGGACGAAGGCC